rnacentral:lncRNA from 1 species
UUAUUUAAGGCCUUGUAUCUUAGCAUGUGGACUCUUAAUAAUACAAUAACAAAGCUUAAUUCAUAUACAUAUAGAGCUUUUAUGUAUUCAUGUGCCAAGAAAAUUAACUAUCAAGUUAUUAAUUAGCUCAUCGCACCCAGGUGUCAUGUGUUUUAAUUUGAUACGUGAGUCAAGCAAAACAAUCUAUUACAGAUGUAGCUGAUAUCCAAAAUAACGAUUUCUAUGUCCUACUGAUUUUUCUC